rnacentral:rRNA from 1 species
AGUGAACGCGGCGGCGUGGAUUAGGCAUGCAAAUCGAGCGAUCUCGCAAGGGAUAGCGGUAAACGGGUGAGGAACACGUAAAUAAUCUUCCCAUUAUCUGACACAGCUCUAUGAAAAUAGAGGUAAUAUCAGAUGACACCAUGAUUUCUCAUGAAAUUAUGUUUAAAGACGGGGACCGCAAGGCCUGUCGAUAGGGGAUGAGUUUGCGUAGCAUCAGCUAGUUGGUAGGGUAAUGGCCUACCAAGGCUUUGACGCUUAGCUGGUCUGAGAGGAUGGUCAGCCACACUGGGACUGAGACACUGCCCAGACUCCUACGGGAGGCUGCAGUCGAGAAUCUUUAGCAAUGGGCGAAAGCCUGACUAUGCGACGCCGCGUGAGGGAUGAAGGAUUUCGGUUCGUAAACCUCUUUUGGCAGGGAAGAAAAUGUUGCAGUUAAUAGCUGCAAAACUGACGGUACCUGCAGAAUAAGCCACGGCUAACUCCGUGCCAGCAGCCGCGGUAAUACGGAGGUGGCUAGCGUUACUCGGAAUUAUUGGGUGUAAAGGGCAAGUAGGCGGCUUGGUAGGUAGGGGGUGAAAUACUCCGGCUCAAUCGGAGAACUGCCUUCUAAACUGCCA